rnacentral:tRNA from 1 species
GCCUGGGUGGCUCAGUGGUUGAGCAUCUGCCUUCGGCUCAGAGGAUGAUUCUGGGAUCUGGGUUCGAGUCCCACACUGGGCU